AUUGAACGCUGGCGGCAGGCCUAACACAUSCAAGUCGAGCGGUAGAGAGAAGCUUGCUUCUCUUGAGAGCGGCGGACGGGUGAGUAAUGCCUAGGAAUCUGCCUKGUAGUGGGGGAUAACGUUCGGAAACGAACGCUAAUACCGCAUACGCCCUACGGGAGAAAGCAGGGGACCUUCGGGCCUUGCGCUAUCAGAUGAGCCUAGGUCGGAUUAGCUAGUUGGUGGGGUAAUGGCUCACCAAGGCGACGAUCCGUAACUGGUCUGAGAGGAUGAUCAGUCACACUGGAACUGAGACACGGUCCAGACUCCUACGGGAGGCAGCAGUGGGGAAUAUUGGACAAUGGGCGAAAGCCUGAUCCAGCCAUGCCGCGUGUGUGAAGAAGGCCUUCGGGUUGUAAAGCACUUUCAGUGGGGAAGAAAAGCUCAGGGUUAAUACCCCUGAGUGUUGACGUUACCUACAGAAGAAGCACCGGCU
rnacentral:rRNA from 1 species